CCUGAAGCCUGAAUUCAAGACAGCGGCAGGGAAAACAGCAAUGGUCAGUUACAGACACCAGGUGGCGCAGGAGAAUGCCAAACUCCCAGGAGCGCAAGGCAAACCCACAUCCUGGUUCUCCCCUAAGAGACUUCCGUAACCUCAGAAACUUGUCUGGAGGAGGGCUUGGAGCCAGACGCCGUUGAAACGGCACUCCCUGCACUGAGAGGUUAUCUAACUACAUGUUUCCUUAGAAAUUCUAAGGACCAAAUAUUGAACCAAACCAGGCACUCUCUGGGAUUCUCCCCCACCAGGAAAUUACCUCAAGAUGACAGUCACUUUACAACCCAGCUCUGCCCUCGAUGGUGGCAGCCAGCAAGUCGCGAGUCACGCAGACCCCGCGCCUCCUCCUCUCCAUAGCACUCACUCCAAGUCCCCCUUAAAGGCUCUGCUUUCUGCCAUGAAAGCUGAAGCGGUUCCCUUAAGGCAGAAGCCUGUACCUCUUCCCCUCAGCUGAGCUCUGGAAUAAAAGUCGCCUUCUUUCUAUCAGCCCUCACUCUUGGAUGAACUGGACUGUGCAGGCAAUGAGCCGCUGGACUUGCAUUUGGUUACAAGCCUUCUGCCUUGUGUUGAUUGGUCUGUGCACAGCCUGGGGAAAGCUUUCAGGUCUGCCCAACAUCCUGCUCUGACUGGCCUUGAGUGGGUGAAACCUAGUGCACGUGCAUAGCCUCCCCAACUCGCAGAAUUGACUGGGAUCCCGGAAUUCAUUGGGAUCCCAGCAGCGCUGCUCUGGGCUCUUGCCCUGGUUCUAUGAAGCUGCUCUGCCGUUCCACUCAGAUUCUGGAGCUCCAGCCUCCUUCGCUGCUCUCCACGCAGUCUCCACCGUUUUGACAACACCCUUAGGCAUGCAGUUCUCCAGGUGCUGUUUCAGAUAAAGUCAGUUCCCUCAGGCAGAGCUGCAAAGCUCUUUACGCUGACCGCAUGCCCUCCCCCAACACCACCACCACCCGGCCUUUUUCUUGGAAUGACAUCCCUGCUCUACAGCGGGGCACUGAGGGAGGAUAAUGUGGCAGCCCUGGUCUUCUUGGUUUGCCUUCCCUGGUAUAGAAUCUCUGCCCUGUGAGAGAGCUGGCAGGGGCAAUCAGGCGUCUUAUUCGCGGCCUGCUGCAGAGCUUCUGCCCUUUAAGUGCAAGGAGGCCCUAGUCGUGUUAGCUCCCCUUGCUUGGAAUAGAUCUUCCGCAAUAAGGAGCUGCGGCGGAUGAGAAAUGCCAACAGCCCCUCCCUCCUGGUAAAAGAAAAACUUCAGCUGAAUUCAAUGUAAAGGAGUUUAAUUGAGCAGCGAACGAUUCGCAAAUCGGGCAGCCCCCAGAAUCACAGCGGAUUCACUGAGACUCCAGCACAGCCACGCGGUGGAAGAUUUACAGACGAAACAAGGGAAAUGAUGUACAGAAACCGGCAGUGAGGUACAGAACAGCUGGAUUGGUAGCAGGUAAAAUGUAAAUUUACUGAAGCUAAUCAGAGCCUCACAAGAAGGUUCUGGAGCCAGUGAAAUCAACGCCUGGGGCACAAAAUAUUCUACAAAAAUCGGUGUGUGAUUUCUAGCAGGGCAGCCACUUGCUCGUUACUUCUUUUAAAAAACAUGUUGAGACUGUGGCCUUCCAAGAGUCAAUACUUGAUGAAAGAAGUAAAAUAGUGAGUACCAGCAACUCACUCUUUUUGUCUGACGCUGGCGAGAAGCAGUCAGUUUUAUACAUUUUCAAUCAACCCACGGAGGAGGCAAAUGUAAACAGAGUUUUUUACACUCUCCGAAAAACGUGUUACUACUGUAGCAUAUGCUGUUUGGCCCAAUUAAAAGGAGAAUGGAGAGCAAUUUGUUUGGUUUGCUUUUUAAGUUUUACCUCGUGAAGAUUUUAAAACGAGGGUUUUACUAGUUCUUGGCAGGAGACUGUCCAAUCAGAGGUUCUGUAUUUAUAAAUAACCCAUGUGGGAUUAUGCUCUCCAGUGAGCAUAACUGGAGUCUAAAUUCACAACCUUAAGGUCUGACAGCCAGAUGUGAAAGGUCUGCAAAGAGCUCUGCUAAUAAGUAAUAUGUUUGCAAAGUGCUCUGCUAAGUAAGGUACUUAUUAGGCAGAGCACUUUGUAAGAUUCAGAACUGACUCCUGAUUAUCUUAAGCCAUUAAAAGACUCAAGUUUUGCAUGGACUUUUUGUCCUCUUUGGCCCCUGAGUGUGCCCCAUCUCUGCCCGGCACUAAUAACGUGUGGAAAGCAAGGAUUUCCCACCAGCGUGCCCGAUCAUUUAUAUAGGCAGGACCUUUAUUGAAAAGAAGGGAAGGGACACGGUCUUAAAUGCACAUUUAAGGUUCUUUCUGGUUAUUGGCAAUCUCUAUGAACCAACACUUAAUCCAUGGGCUAACAGAGUUUUUUUUUUUUUUUUUUUUUUUUUUUUUAAAGCUGAGGAGGAUUAAAGAAUAAAGAAAAAACAAAAAAGUCUUAUACUAAAAUAAGAAAUCAGCCCCAUCUUGGCACAGUUCUCAUGCAGAAUAUUGCACCCAGUGUGAACUAACGCUAGAAGCUUCAAACUGUAUAAAUUUAAAUGUAUUUGCAUAUUAUAAAAAUAAAGAUAAACAUAUACAUAUUUUACACUAGUUAUGGAACAGCAAUGAACGUCAGUCGAUCCCUCUUUCACAUUUAACAGAACUGAAAUCUGAGUGCUCUAAAUACUGCCACCUGUACUGUAACUAUGGCUUAUAUGUGCACGGAAAACAAAAUCCCUGAGAAGCCAUUCGACUUUUUUUUUUUUUUCUUUUCUUCAAGUAGCGCGCUCCUUGGAGGAUCACAGUUCUGAGGUUCAGGUUGUAAAACAUUUGCUCCAUCUUCUCGCCCAUGCUUCCCCCCCACCCCCUCCCCACCUCUUCCCCAAUCUUCCAAAAAGCAUCCUGCAAGCACGCGUUGUCACUCAAGUUCACAGAACACGCUGGGGGGAGUGCAGAGGGUCUGCCAGGUGCAAAAAAUGGUCCAGGUGUUCAGAUGCUCUCUUUUCUCCAUGGAAAUUCCACAGCCACAAACAUCACUGGUUUCUGUGCUUUUCACCAACGUUCUUCCUGUAUGGGUGGACAAGAAGAAAGCAGAGAGAUGACAAAAAGGUUAUCGAAGAGUCUUCAGUUUGGUGGAGGAGGGAGUUGCUCUAAAGCUCUUUGGAAGGAGAAAGAAGCAUUCUGCAGGAUCCCUGAGAAUGAAACGCAACCAGCAAGCUGUCAUUUGUCCAGAGAAGCUCACGCUCCCUGGGAACUGGAAUAUUCGGUCUCACCCUGAAGAGUAGCUGGACAGAGACAGGAAUUCACGAAUAAAAGCUUUAAAAGAUUA